AUGGUAUCUUCAAUACCCUGCAAAGGAGGAGUUGAAGUUGUAAGUCGAGUUAAGGGUAUAAUCAAAUACCCUUAACUCAAAUUAGUGUCUAACAGUUUUAGGGCUUUUGAAUUAAUGGUUAGACUCUUAAUAAUUGAUAUCAACACUAGUCACGAGUUCGAGUUAUGGGGAGACCUAUAAAAUGAGUUCGAGAUACGGAGGGGACGACUUAUAAGAUAGGUUUGAGAUAUGGAGGGGGCAACCUAUAAGCUAAAUUAUAAUAUCUUUCUACUAUGUAUGAGAAUAGUAUUAAGUCUUUAUAUAUGAGCACAAUGUUAAAUAGUGUUUAGAAAUUGAAUGCUAAUAGCUUAGUAAAGCCGUCAAAUUUUGUUCAAAAAUUUUGUUUGUGCAGUGCAAUUCAAGGAAAGGAGGAGAAGAGCUGGUGGAGCAAUUAGCAACCCCAUUCUUCAGGAAAAGUUGAUGAAAAAGAGAAAAUGGAAGAGGAUGUUGGAUAUUGUUUUCCAUGUGUUUGUCAAGUCGUAAUGUUCUUUGACUAUGAUCAAGUGAUGUUGAUCUGGAGCUAUUGAGUAAUAAGCUGAAGCUUGCAACACGUUCAAAUUGAUUCCGUAUGUUACUGCCAACCCUGCAAUGCCUGUUGAAAAGCCAAUUUCCAGAUAAGUUUUCUCACUAUAUUUUUAUUUUUGUACUUUUUAAAGAAACUCCAUUUACUUGAAAGAAAAUAUGUCACUGAUUGAGUACCUGUUGCUAUGCAUUUUUGUUAUGUUGGUACCUAAUCCUAAUUUUUCUUCUUCUAAGGAAGCAAAUACUUUUUUAACAAAUGCUACAUUCAUGGAAAUUGUAGUGCAUUGUUUCUGAAAAGACUAGUGAUACUCACUUGGAUUGAUAACUCCUUCAGGGAGGGUGACCAGUAAAACCAAUGAGAAGGCAAACACAAAGUUAGAUAGCAAAUUGAGUCUGAAAGAAAGCCAUUCCAUCGCUGACAUAUUAUGAAACCAUGGCCUCGAGUGGUUGUCAACAAGACCGAGGUUUCCAUCAAUGAAACGGUCUUCUUGAUCAAAAGCACGGAUUGUUGCUGCUCCUGCAAGUGAUUCUGCAAAGUGAUGGAGGAUUGGUGCUCGUUCAAUACCUGCUAAGCGGGCCAGUUCUCUUGCUGUUGAUUGCAGUUACUGGAAUGAAGAUGACAAAUACUUCCCAUGUCACUUGCGACAUCACUGCAAUAGUUCCUAGAAUCUGAAUUAUUGAGAAGGCACACGAACCUACUUUUCCUGCCAGUUCCAAGUCUACCACACUU